rnacentral:lncRNA from 1 species
AUAGCUCUGGCUGCUGGCAUCUGGGGCACCACUCUGAUUCACCUCUCCAGCAAAGAUACUUGCUUCGUGAUCAUCAUCACCCCUGACACUUGCCUCGGCUCAUUUGCUCCAUUGGUGACUCAGUCCAUGGGCCUCCAACAGAUGUAUGGACCUUUUAUCAGAGAGCUUUCUGAGUGAGUGGCACCCUGCCUGAUGGCUCUCCCUUUCCUGACUGGUCCCUGUUCAGUUCCUUUACCAUGAAAAGCAUCUUGGUAGCUGCUAAAACUUUUGAUUUCUGUUUUUAACUUUCUCUUUGAAGAUGUUUUUUCUGUUUUAUCCCUCCCCCUUUACCUAUCUAAUCUCUUUCUCUUUUAAAGCUAACACUGUACAUAAGGCUAACAGAUUAGUUAUACUCAAAAACGAGUUGAAAUAUUGGAUUGUGUGAAAAGAACAUCAAGGAAUGAAGUUGAGAGUGGCUGUGAUGACUUAAAACAAAAAAUAGGAGACCAUGUGACAAAGACUCAGAAAAGAGAGAAGCCCAGAACCUCAGGAAUUUUUGAUUGGGGACAUUUUAGCAAAAAAUCUAAAAAGAUCCCCUCAGCUGGGCAUGUGGAGUGUGAAAUUCCUGAGUACUGACCUUGGAAAUGUGUCUCCUCAAUGUCUCCAAAGCCAGCAUUUCAUCAGCAAGAAACGUUUGGCAAUUUUCUUUUAAAUUCAAAGACUUUCCAAAAUCCCAAGUGUAAAAGUCAGAUCAUCUCUGACACGGUAUGUUCAGCACCCCUCCCAACUUGCAUGGCUGAAGGCAGUGAACUGAGUGCCCCCCCACUCCCACUGUAACCCCAACACUUCUGUCUGCAGCCGUCAGGCACACCAGGGCCUUUUACUGGGACUUUCUGAAUCGCUUUGAUUCUUUUCAUUGGGUCAAGAGAGUGAACGUACACAAUAGUCAGCAAAACAAUGAUAAUUGGUGCUUACUGAACGAGUGCAGAUGGUAGCUUCAAUCACCUCCCUGCCUAGACUCUGAUCAUAGCACACUGGGGUGCCAUCUGUCACCCCUAGACAAACAUCUUUAACCAGCAUCUCUUCCUGAAGCCCACUUGGACCACCCUUUGGAAAACCAUCACCAAGGCCAGUAAGGUACCUGUGGUGACUCACCUCAGCCUAGCCCACCAUAGACCCUUAGCAGAGCAGGUGUGUAUAAGUCAGAGCCAGACAAUCAGAACACCCUCCCUGCUCCAAAGUAGCAAUGUAAAAAAUUGAACCCAAUGGUGUUGGUUCAGUUUGGUACAGAAUGGAAUCGAGUGGUUUCUAUGUGGUUCUCUGACUAGUUUUCUGGUUAUCACUCCUGGAUACUUAAUCUCAGAGUCAGUCAUGGGAAGCCAUAUUUUUUUUUAAAAAUAUUAUUUUUUGGUACCAAUUAGUUUCUAUAUAAUCUCAUUUAGUCCCCACUCAUCUCCCUUAGCCAACUGGCCCCUUGGGUCCCUUGGGGACGUCCUCAGGGCUCCUGCAUGCUUGCAAAGUGACCAGGGCUGUCCUACCUGAGCUCAUUUUCCACCCUGAACCCUUUCCUUCGGGCCAGCUCCAUGAGGAAGGCUCUUCGAGUUGUUCCCAUCUUCUUUUCCAAAAUGAAGAGGACCAAGUCUCGAAAUCGGAUGUCAUAAGGCGUGGAAGCCACUGGGGUGCCCAGCUGCCUGGGUCUUUUCUUCCGAGGACCCAGGUGGACUGCUUGCAGUGGAUCCAUGGAAGCAGACAGUCUAGCUCUGUCUGUACCAUCAGGUGGUGUCUCCAGAAUGAGGGCUCUGAUGUCCUCUCACCAGCAAACCCAUAGGUACCACCCUGGUGACAACUUCCUGCUGAAGGAAUGUCUCACUCUGAUCAGGUCCUUUCUCCCAAAAUGGAGCUCUUGACAGAAAGAACAGUGAACUUGGGUUUUCAUACACUUGAUCUCUGCAGUACCUCAGAAUAAACUUAUG